rnacentral:sRNA from 1 species
GAUCAUGGAAAAUGCUGAAAUAAAUAAUAUUAUUAAAAUAGUUGGUCUGCAAUAUAAGAAAAGUUACGAUGAUGCAGAAUCUCUGAAAACCUUACGCUAUGGAAAGAUUAUGAUUAUGACCGAUCAGGAUCAAGAUGGUUCUCACAUAAAAGGCCUGCUUAUUAAUUUCAUCCAUCACAAUUGGCCAUCACUUUUGAAGCAUGGUUUUCUCGAAGAGUUCAUUACUCCUAUUGUAAAGGCAAGCAAAAAUAAGCAGGAACUUUCCUUCUACAGUAUUCCUGAAUUUGAUGAAUGGAAAAAACAUAUAGAAAACCAGAAAGCCUGGAAAAUAAAGUACUAUAAAGGAUUGGGUACUAGUACAGCUAAAGAGGCAAAGGAAUAUUUUGCUGAUAUGGAAAGGCAUCGCAUCUUGUUUAGAUAUGCUGGUCCUGAAGAUGAUGCUGCCAUUACCUUGGUAAUUAAGUUAAUUUUUUAAAAGCUUUUGUUAGCCAUCCCCCUACCUUCUUUUCCUUUCCUCCCAGUCCUGGUUCCCUAUGAUAAGUCUCUUUUGAAUGCUCAAGCUAGUUAAUUUUAAUUUUUCCCCC